CCUACGGGUGGCAGCAGUGGGGAAUAUUGGACAAUGGGCGAAAGCCUGAUCCAGCCAUGCCGCGUGUGUGAAGAAGGCCUUCGGGUUGUAAAGCACUUUCAGUGGGGAAGAAAGCCUUGGGGCUAAUACCCUCGAGGAAGGACAUCACCCACAGAAGAAGCACCGGCUAACUCCGUGCCAGCAGCCGCGGUAAUACGGAGGGUGCGAGCGUUAAUCGGAAUUACUGGGCGUAAAGCGCGCGUAGGCGGUCUGAUAAGCCGGUUGUGAAAGCCCCGGGCUCAACCUGGGAACGGCAUCCGGAACUGUCAGACUAGAGUGCAGGAGAGGAAGGUAGAAUUCCCGGUGUAGCGGUGAAAUGCGUAGAGAUCGGGAGGAAUACCAGUGGCGAAGGCGGCCUUCUGGACUGACACUGACGCUGAGGUGCGAAAGCGUGGGUAGCAAACAGGAUUAGAUACCCGGGUAGUC
rnacentral:rRNA from 1 species